rnacentral:tRNA from 5 species
GUUUCUGUAGCUCAGCAGGAUAGAGCGUCCGCCUCCUAAGCGGAAGGCCAGCGGUUCGAAUCCGCUCAGGAACACCA